GCCCAUCAAAAUAGGUGUAUCAUAGAUAAUUCAAGUGAAAAUUCAAUAUAUACAAGUGAAAAUGGACAUCAUAGAAAAUACUUCAGACUUCAAAUCCUCAGCAAAUCCCUGGCUCAACAAAUGCCAAUACAAUACUUUUUUAAUAUUAACUUAAACAAAGUCGGAACUACUGCUCCUUCAUGGAAACAAAUUAAAAGGAACACAAAUUUCAUGUGUUCACAUAUAACAACAAAUGAGGAAACGAC
rnacentral:lncRNA from 1 species